rnacentral:rRNA from 1 species
UACGUAGGGGGCAAGCGUUGUCCGGAUUUAUUGGGCGUAAAGAGCGUGUAGGCGGCCAGGUAGGUCUGCUGUGAAAACUCGAGGCUUAACCUCGAGCUGUCAUCGGAAACCAUUUGGCUAGAGUCCGGAAGAGGAGAGUGGAAUUCCUGGUGUAGCGGUGAAAUGCGCAGAUAUCAGGAAGAACACCAAUGGCGAAAGCAGCUCUCUGGGACGGUACUGACGCUGAGACGCGAAAGCGUGGGGAGCGAACAGG